AGUCGAACGAUUGAAGCUGGAGCUUGCUCCGGCCGAUUUAGUGGCGGACGGGUGAGUAACGCGUGGGUAACCUGCCUCAUACAGGGGGAUAGCAGUUGGAAACGACUGGUAAAACCGCAUAAGCGCACGGUGUCGCAUGACACAGUGUGAAAACACUCCGGUGGUAUGAGAUGGACCCGCGUCUGAUUAGCUAGUUGGUGAGGUAACGGCCCACCAAGGCGACGAUCAGUAGCCGGCCUGAGAGGGCGAACGGCCACAUUGGGACUGAGACACGGCCCAAACUCCUACGGGAGGCAGCAGUGGGGAAUAUUGCACAAUGGGGGAAACCCUGAUGCAGCGACGCCGCGUGAGUGAUGAAGUAUUUCGGUAUGUAAAGCUCUAUCAGCAGGGAAGAUAAUGACGGUACCUGACUAAGAAGCACCGGCUAAAUACGUGCCAGCAGCCGCGGUAAUACGUAUGGUGCAAGCGUUAUCCGGAUUUACUGGGUGUAAAGGGUGCGUAGGUGGCAAGGCAAGUCUGAAGUGAAAAUCCGGGGCUCAACCCCGGAACUGCUUUGGAAACUGUUUAGCUAGAGUACAGGAGAGGUAAGUGGAAUUCCUAGUGUAGCGGUGAAAUGCGUAGAUAUUAGGAGGAACACCAGUGGCGAAGGCGACUUACUGGACUGCUACUGACACUGAGGCACGAAA
rnacentral:rRNA from 1 species